AUUGAACGCUGGCGGCAGGCCUAACACAUGCAAGUCGAACGAGUGGCGGACGGGUGCGUAAUGUUUGGGAAUCUGGCUGAUGGAGGGGGAUAACUACUGGAAACGGUAGCUAAUACCGCGUACCAUCGGAUGAGCCCAUAUGGGAUUAGCUAGUAGGUGGGGUAAAGGCUCACCAAGGCGACGAUCUCUAGCUGGUCUGAGAGGAGGACCAGCCACACGGGAACUGGGACACGGCCCAUACUCCUACGGGAGGCAGCAGUGGGGAAUAUUGCACAAUGGGGGCAACCCUGAUGCAGCCAUGCCGCGUGUAUAAAGAAGGCCUUCGGGUUUUAAAGUACUUUCGGCGGGGAGGCGUUACCUACAGAAGAAGCACCGGCUAACUCCGUGCCAGCAGCCGCGGUAAUAC
rnacentral:rRNA from 1 species